AACGCACAUUGCGCCCGUUAGUAUUCUAGCGGGCAUGCCUGUCCGAGCGUCAUAUCAACCCUCAAGCCCUGGACGCUUGGUGUUGGGGCGCCGCGGCGCCAGCCGCAGCCCCCGAAAUACAGUGGCGGACCCUACGAGGAGCCGAGCGCAGUAGUGAUCUCUCGCUCAGGCCCUCCCCGGGGGGAUCCUGCCGUAAAACCCCAACUGUUACCACCAGGUUGACCUCGGAUCAGGUAGGAAUACCCGCUGAACUUAA
rnacentral:misc_RNA from 1 species